UACGGGGGGGGCAAGCGUUGUUCGGAAUCACUGGGCGUAAAGAGUGUGUAGGCGGCGCUCUAAGUUCGGUGUGAAAUCUCUCGGCUUAACUGGGAGGGUGCGCCGGAAACUGGAGUGCUCGAACGUGGGAGAGGAAAGCGGAAUUCCUGGUGUAGCGGUGAAAUGCGUAGAUAUCAGGAGGAACACCGGUGGCGAAGGCGGGUCUCUGGGCCGAUACUGACGCUGAGGAGCGAAAGCGUGGGGAGCGAACAGG
rnacentral:rRNA from 1 species